GUAGGUGGCAAGCGUUGUCCGGAAUUAUUGGGCGUAAAGCGCGCGCAGGCGGUCCUUUAAGUCUGAUGUGAAAGCCCACGGCUCAACCGUGGAGGGUCAUUGGAAACUGGGGGACUUGAGUACAGAAGAGGAAAGCGGAAUUCCACGUGUAGCGGUGAAAUGCGUAGAGAUGUGGAGGAACACCAGUGGCGAAGGCGGCUUUCUGGUCUGUAACUGACGCUGAGGCGCGAAAACGUGGGGAGCAAACAGGAUUAGAUACCCUGGUAGUCCACGCCGUAAACGAUGAGUGCUAAGUGUUAGGGGGUUUCCCGCCCCCCUUAGUGCUGCAGCUAACGCAUUAAGCACUCCGCCUGGGGAGUACGGCCGCAAGGCUG
rnacentral:rRNA from 1 species